rnacentral:tRNA from 1 species
UUUAACUUGGCAGAAUUUAUGCAAUUGAUUUAGAAUCAAUUUAUAAUAUAUAAUAUUAGUUGGUA